rnacentral:lncRNA from 1 species
GUUUAAUUGUUAGAAAGUUAUUUGUAUUUGUUUAAUGAAAUUUCAAUAUGUACAAAUAUACGGUAUAUCUUAAUGAUUUGGCAAUUUAGGCAUGAAACGAUAUAACAAUAAUUUCGGUAAUACAGUAAGGUAUGGUAUACCGACUUUCGGUAUGGUAUACCGCACUAUCGGUACGACAACGGUAUGAAAAUUCUCAUACCAAAAUUUUCGGUAUGCCGAUCUUCGGUAUACCGAAAAGUACGGUACGGCAACGGUAUGAAAAUUCUCAUACCGUAAUUUACGGUAUGGUAUAC